AGAAUUAUUAGAAAUUAAGUGACAGGUGAGGAUAUGGUAUAGUAAAGUAACCUUUAUGAGGGGUGUAAAAAGCUUCUGCUCAGGCUGCACAAACAUGGGAAUGGCCCAGAAGGACUGCAUAAUGAAUCAAUGCAAGUGUGAGAGAGUGGUAAAUAUUAGUUAAGAAUCCUAAAUCACUGUGAUGAUUCUGUCAUACAGAAAUCAAGUAGCCUUCAAUUGCUCUUGCUUAACCCUACAAGUAAAUUUUAGUGGUUUGUGUGGGUCUUUAGCAGUUUGCAAUAUAAACAUACCACCAUCAAAGGUUUGUAAAGCAAAUACUGGUUUUCUGCUAUAUUAUACUAAUUUCCUAACAAUAUUUUGCUGGUGCAGUUACACUCAUUCUACAAUUCUUCCCUGGUAUAGACAUGUUGGUCAGAAGUGUUUGAUUUUCUUUUUUCUGUAUACAGACAUGGCUAUACAAAAGAUCUGUUCUUAAGUGGUGUUGUGCUGGUCAGGCUAAUAUUCUAGCAAACAAAGGAUAUUCCUUUCCCUUUCAGAAGAUUAAUUUUCCUAAAUUCUUUGUAAAUGGAAAACUUCUAUACAGUUUAAUGGAAAUGUUUUUCAUUGGAAAUUUUUAUUAGC